UGUUCACAGAAACGCUUGCUACGCAGGCUAGUUAAAGAACCGUCAGGUAUAUUCGGAAGAGUGUUUGGAGUCAUUUUCUACAAAAACAAGAACAAAAACAGCGCGCACCCUUGCCUCCACCUUCGCAUUUGCCUUCGCUUUCGCCUUCGCCUACCGGCUCCCUCUCCUUCACCUUCACCUUUUCCGGCAAAGCAAGCAGAUUCCCAAGAGGUAUAUUCCUUAUGGAGACUUAGGACACUACACAGAUAUCACUGAAACCCACUUCGCAGCCAUAGAAAAGGGGCUUCCGCUCACUGUCCAAUCAUACAAUGAUGAUUACUUAUAAACAACAAGUUUCACUAUGAAGCUGCUAUAUGGUGACAAAGAUAGAAUAAUAACAGCUAAGAACUUUGUCUCACAUCAUAUAAAACCGGGUAUACCUAAACAGGUUUCACUAUGAAGCUGCUAUAAGAUACUAGCUAAGCUGUUUUUCUUCAGCUCUUUCAUCUGAACGAUCUGAAGACGAAAAGGAUGUAAUCGUAGAGGAAAAGGUAGCGAAAAAUCCAGAAAAGUAUGGCUUAGACUUUGUAAACGGCUAUAUCCUUGCCGUAAAGCAGCCGGAAUAAAAAAAACAUCUUGAAUCAAAUGAAUGCUCCACGAGAUAUAGACUAUUCUUCUAAAAGUUACUGUGUUUACUAAAGCUCGCAUAAUAGUAAAGAUAAGUAUUAUCAAACACAGACCAUCAAGAAGCGAGUGCGAAUAAAACAAUGAUAUAAUAAAAAUUUUGAGUUG